rnacentral:tRNA from 1 species
GGAAUCGGCCUUCAAACCCGGUUAGGGGCGUCAGACGCUCCUGGGUAGGUUCGACUCCUGCUGCCUUCCGCCA